rnacentral:lncRNA from 1 species
UCAGAGGUGGUUUACUCCCACCGAGAUAGAAAGAGUGAUGAGAUUGAUACUCUCUUUUAUUUAUUCCUCAAGUCUAGGAGAGUGGAGUCGAGUAUUUUCUCCCUCUUAAUUUUGUUAACUGUUCAUCCUAUUAUCACUUGAAUAUGUACUACUAAUUACUAACAUAGAACAGUGUUAUGAUAGUAUUAUUAAAAAAGAAAAUCGCAUGGAGAGUGGGGUGAUAAUAUUACUAGUACUCUUUUGUGUUUUUGGCCUUUUCAAUUAAUAUUUAAAGGAAAAGUACUUAUUGGACAAAUUAUUGAAUGAUGCAUGAUCCAUGAUCAACAUUGAUUUCUACGAGGAGGAUGAAUCAUACAAAUGAAAUCAACAUGGCUGGCUUUGUUAAAUGUGUAGUUGAAUCCGGAUUCACUUCAAUAUUGUACAAUCAUGCCCCCUUCUCUUCUCUUCUCUUAGUUGAACUCCUCCAUCAUAACCACCUCGGCAGUUAUUUAGCAAAGUACUACAAUACAAUACAAUACAAUACAUAAAUAGAAUAGGAUAGGAUAGGAUAGCUGUUUGCAUAAAUAAGAAAUAUUGAGAAAGGUGAACACCUACGUACGUACGUUCAGAAGCUUCUCUAAAGAAGUCGACUGCUCAAUUCUAUACAAUUAGAAAGUUAAACAAGGUGGAAGGUUAUGUUCAAAAUGAGAUGGUGUCAGUCACUCAUGUGUAAGGCUGUAAAAUGAACAGUUCGGACUCGAUUCGUACUCGAAAUAUAAAUAAGUCAAAUAUGAGCACAUUUUAAAGUUCGAUAAAUUACUCGAACCUCCUCAAAUUAUAAUUUACUAUUGAUACUCGGAUCAUAUUCGUUAAAAAAGUCCAAACUGCUCGGGCUCGAUUCGAAAUCGUUCUCGACUCGGUAGCUAAAUGAGCCUCAAUCAAAUCUUAUUUUAUACUCGAUAAAUUUUGUGAACCAAAUUUGAACAACUCAAUACUCGGAUCGACUCGAUUCGUUUACACCCUUACUAAUGUGAUAUUGAUGCCAGACAAUAAUAAUUUGAGCAUAAAGCCUCAAAGCUAGUAACAUAAACAAAGGAUCUCGGGGAAUGCAUUGAAUAUGCUUUUUGACCUUAUUAAUAUUAAUCCUACAUCGUCCUACUUAAUAAGAUCAAAAAAUAAAAAUUAAAUAAUGGGACAAUGUGUCUGUCAUAUGUGGGGCCAUGAUCUGAAAAUGGAAAAGAAUUGGCAGCCCUGAUGAGUGAUGACAAAGGUGAAAUCUUAACAUCCCAAGUCAUGGACAUUUCUUUUGGGCAUAUACAUUGCUUAGGAAUCAAGUUCCUGCUAAAGUUUUAGAAAACCUUAUUAUACAGGACAUAAGAAUAAUGCAAUGCAAUGCAAUGCAAUGCAAUGCAAUAUAAGCAUUUAAUUGGAAACAUUAUCUCCACUAAUGGAUAAUUUGCACCAGUAGUUUUUCUCAAAAUGCAGAAUAACAGACGAGUGAAAUAUGGAAACUUUUUGAUCAAAAGAAAUGGGAAUCCUUGAAGCCAAAGCUUCACUGUCACCAACCUGUGCAGCCUUAUCUUUGAAGCAAAAAUUCACAACCAAAGCUCCCACCCCCUGCGCCAUUAUUCUCUCUCAUUAUUUUUCUUCCCUCCAUUUAAAAUAUAUUUAAUUGCUUACAAAGGAAACCAUCUCUCUAGGAACCAUAGUUUUCUUUUCUGCACUAAUUUCUGAAGGUAACAACGUCAUAUUGGAUCUUUUGAAAUACCAAUGGGAACACCAAGUUCUGCACUGCUAGAAACAUCAUGUGGAUAUUUGCUCCAAGAAUUACAGGCAAGUUAUGAAUUAAUAAUCAUCUGGUGCUGGAUAGAUAAUUGCCUUAGAUUUCGAAAAAAUAAUGUAUAUUUUACUACUUUUACAGUUGAUAUGGGAUGAAGUUGGAGAAGAUCAGUUUGAAAGGGAAAAGGUUCUACUGGACCUAGAACAGGAGUGCCUAGAAGUCUACAGAAGGAAAGUGGACAGUGCAAAUAUUUCAAGGGCACGGCUACAUCAGGAAUUGGCAGAAUCUGAGGCUGAAUUUACCCAUCUCCUAUUGUCACUUGGUGAACGGUCUCUCCCCGGACGGGUAACUUUUCCUUAUUGGCCAUUCUUUUUCCAGUUCAUAAUUCAAUGUUAAAGCAACAAGUUCAUAGCAACCACCCACCCAAAAAUACAUUUAAAAAAAAAGACAAAAAAGAAGCCACAUGGCGUAGAGGAAUGAGUCUACAAAUCAGUAUUAUUCAUUAGGUUAUACCAACAAUUUGAAACAUGCAUGUGAAAUAGUAUGCUAGUACACAGAAAAAGAGUUGACAAGAAUACCUGUCUGCAAAAUGACUUGUACAAUAUUAGCAAAAUUCUCACUCAAGAACUUUUGUCCAUGACAGCCAGAGAAAAUGGCAGGUGCUUUGAAGGAGCAACUAGAUUCAAUUACUCCAGCUCUGCGGGAGAUGCAACUGAGAAAGGAAGAGAGGGUGAAGCAGUUCCGAGCUGUGCAAGGACAAAUUCAGAAAAUUUCUGCAGAAAUAGCAGGUCAAUCAGAAUAUUAUAAUGCAUCUUCAAAUGUUUUAGCAAACGAGAAAGAUCUUUCACUGAAGAAACUCGAAGAAUACCAAAUUGAACUACAAAGACUUCACAAGGAGAAGGUAAGACACAUGAUCCACGAUUCAUAUUCAGAGGGAUUUGACUUGAAUGUGCAAAAAUAAUAUAAUUAUGAUUUAAUUGCUUGCUUUCUUUGCUCCUCUUUUGUUGACAUGAAAGAAUGACAGACUACAAAGAGUAAAAAUGUAUAUAAGCACAAUUCAGAAUUUCUCAGCCACAUUAGGCAUGGAUUCCUCCUUAACCAUCACAAAGGUUCAUCCUAGUCUGAACGAGUUAUCCGGACUGUCAAAGAAUAUAAGUGACAGUAUUUUGGCUAAACUCAACAGCACCGUAGAGUCUCUAGAAGCAGAAAAGCAAACUCGGCUCGAAAAGGUAACUGAUACUUUUGCUUUCAUUGUCAUAAUGACAGGAUCUGACAUCCAGGCAGGCAACAAAAUCUACAUAGUUAAUGUCUUGCUGUUGAGUGGUCAUGGACUGCAAACCAGACAAUCAUUCUGCAUUUUCACUUGCAAAUUAUUAAGCAAAAUAGCUGCUGCUUAUAAAAUAAACUAAAUGAAAGUAUUUGCUUCUAACAAAAUUUUAAACAGACAACAUAUCGGAAGCAAAGAAAUGACUGAAUAUGAAUUUCAUUUCACGAGCUGUUGUGAUCUUGCAGCUUCAUCAUCUUGGUAAAGCAUUGACAAAUUUGUGGAAUCUUAUGGACACAUCUUAUAGAGAUCGCAAAUUAUUUUCCCAUGUCACCAGUUUACUUUCAACAUCAUCAGCUGAAAUAUCGACCCCCGGAAGCCUCACCCCAGAUUUAAUCCAGCAAGUCAGUAUACAUAAACUCGGAGGUUCUCAAGAUCAACAGUACCACAACUAACAUUUUAUGUGUUUCAAAUGUUAAGGCUGAGGCUGAAGUCAAGAGACUGGAUCAGCUAAAAGCAAGCAAGACGAAAGAGCUUUUCUUGAAAAAACAAAUCGAGCUGGAGGAUAUAUGCAAUCGAUCGCACAUGGAGAUUCCUUCACGAUCAGAGAUGAACAACAUAAUGAUUCUGAUCAACUCUGGUUUGACGGACUGAACAAUCUUUGUUUUUCAUUAAUGUUAAUUUAACUUUCUCAAAUAGACUAGUUCACAAACUGACUAGAAGUUUAAAACAUACACAAGGGGAGAUUGAUCAUGCUGAUCUCCUCACGAGCAUGGAUGAACAGAUACUGAGAGCAGAAGAAGAAGCUUUUAGUAGGAAGGUUAUAAUGGAAAAGGUGGAAAAAUGGAUUCUAGCACGUGAUGAAGAGAGAUGGCUGGAAGAAUACAUGAGGGUCAGCUUCUUCUAUUGUUGAAUACAUGAUUAUUUGGCCCCAUAGGUUUCAUCUGUCAUGUUUUCUAUUCCGUGGAUGUUUUUCAGGAUGAAAAUCGGUAUUCAGUUAGCAGGGGUGCUCACAAGAAUCUGAAAAGAGCAGAACGUGCCCGCAUAAUGGUUAACAAAAUACCAGGUAAGGUAGAAAACCCAUAAGGAAUACGCAAUACCUCAUAAAGCAAUUUGCUGAAUUGAAGAAGUUGAUUAUUAGGAGAUACAAGUGAGAAAAUGCAGAAAAAACAUGUCUUCAGCAAAUUCAGUUGGUGAUUGUUGGCAUGAAAUGAAAAUGCAUGUCCUAAUUAGAGAGAAUCAUAAGCAUAACAUAGAAUUCUAGGAGCUUGCUUAGGUCUUGGUCAUUGUGACACUCAAGUUUGGGGCCAACCCAGGAAAAUGAAGUUGUAUGGAAGGACCAAAUUACUAACCUAAAGUAUUAAACAUAUUUUCACAUGCAAUCAUCUUUAUGCAGCUUUGGUGGAUUCACUGAUAGCCAAGACUAAAAGCUGGGAAGAAGAAAGAAAAAAAGUUUUCCUAUAUGAUGAGGUAAACUAUUAUCUGAGUAAUUUCAAAAAACAAACUAAGAUGAUAAUUUUUGUGAACUCUCUUGAAAUUUUAUUAGCAAGCCAUAUAAGGGAAUUCAUUUUGUUGACACAGCAUGUCUAUUUUUUUUUUCUUUCGAUGAUUUCUAAUCUUUACAAUGCAUUUGAUUGGCAAAAUGGAAAAUAGGAAUGUGUCAGAUUACUGAUUAUAGAACCUUUUUCUUUGUUAGCUUCACCGGAUUCAUAUACUUCUUUCAAUCUAAAUAAUAGAGUUGGAUUUACUUUUUGGAGCUCUUUUUGUUUCCUUUUAGAAACAGAAAUAAAACAUUUUUGAUAAACCCUCUUUUUGUUGCAUUUGAGCGAGAGAACAUUUCAAUAUAACAUCUACAUUAGUUUGAUUAUUACAGAUUUAAUCAGCAUGGAAUGCUUAAUACUGAUAUAUUUAUUUAUAACUAUGUGGUCUUUUCAGUUUUCAAUAUACCAUGUAGAGAGAGCAUCAUCUCCGUAUAAUUAAAACUUCUUUCUAUCAGUUUUGAGUUGAAGUGUCAACAAAGUAAGUAGAUUUACCAGUUUGCAAAUAAAAAUAUUGAUUGGAAUUAAUUUCUUGCAUUACAUAAUGAAGAGAAACUAAAAAUUCAUUGCAUAAGUCGAGAAUCAAGUCACAUUCAGUCAGAAUCUAUGCAGACUCUUACUAGGAAAAAUUAUAAUUUAAAAUAUUGACCAGCUUCACAACAGUUACUAAAGAUGUUAACUGUUCCUGUAAAUCUAUACUAGUUCCAUUAAACUACUUAUUUUGCUAUGAUGACCCAAGCUACUUCUUACAUUGGAAAUGAAUGCAAAGUCGUUAUAGUAUGCAAAUCACUCUACGAUUAUAUUCAACUAUGUAUUUUGCUUUGAAAAGAAUAAGUUAAUAGAAACUGAAAACUACUCUUACCUAGAUUCCUCUAUUGGCAAUGCUGGAAGAGUACAAUUUGUUGAGGCAAGAAAAGGAGGAGGAGAAGCAAAGGCAACGGGUUAGUAUCAUCUCAAUAAAGUUCAAUCAAGUUUUUGAGAAAUACUUGUUAAAAUAUAUUUACUGGAAAAAUGAAAACUAUGACCUAUUUUUAAUGCCUUUUGAUGAUUGGCAUAUACAUUUAACAAAAAGGAAUAACAAAAGAAAUAAAAAUUGACAAUGGCCUUAAUUUACCUGCUUCUCUCUCUCAUAGGAAAAGAAAAAGGUUCAGAGUCUGGCAAUUGAACAAGAAAAUUUGUUUGAGCCCAGGCCAAGCACCAGCAGUCGGCGCCUUUCAGACAUAAGCAUAAAUGGAGGUUUCAACAACGCAGCGCCUCUAAACAGAAGACUUUCUUUGGGUAUACAGCAG